rnacentral:rRNA from 1 species
CGGAGAGGGAGCAUGAGAAAUGGCUACCACAUCCAAGGAUGGCAGCAGGCGCGCAAAUUACCCACUCCCAGAACGGGGAGGUAGUGACGAAAAAUAACAAUGCGGGACUCUUACGAGGCCCCGUAAUUGGAAUGAGUACACCUUAAAUCGUUUAACGAGUAUCAAUUGGAGGGCAAGUCUGGUGCCAGCAGCCGCGGUAAUUCCAGCUCCAAUAGCGUAUAUUAAAGUUGUUGCAGUUAAAAAGCUCGUAGUUGGAUCUGGGGUAUGGCUCGCUGUCGAUCGCUUUGCGGUGACGGUGAGACUAUACUCUCAUUGCCGGUGUCUGUUGCAGUGUUCUUAACUGAGCGCUUCAUCAGCCCGGCUCGAUUACUUUGAAAAAAUUAGAGUGCUCAAAGCAGGCAUGUCGCCUGAAUAAUCUCGCAUGGAAUAAUGGAAUAGGACCUCGGUCCUAUCUUGUUGGUUCUCUUGAUCGAGGUAAUGAUUAAGAGGGACAAACGGGGACAUUCGUAUUGCGGCGGUAGAGGUGAAAUUCUUGGAUCGCCGCAAGACGAACUACUGCGAAAGCAUUUGUCAAGAAUGUUUUCAUUAAUCAAGAACGAAAGUCAGAUGAUCGAAGACGAUCAGACACCGUCGUAGUUCUGACCAUAAACGAUACCGACCAGUGAUCCGCAGUUGUUGCUCUAUGGACUCUGCGGGCAACCUCCGGGAAACCAAAGUAUUUGGGUUCCGGGGGAAGUAUGGUUGCAAAGCUGAAACUUAAAGGAAUUGACGGAAGGGCACACCAGGAGUGGAGCCUGCGGCUUAAUUUGACUCAACACGGGAAAACUUACUCGUACAGUACAUCGUAAGGAUUGACAGAUCAAUUGCUCUUUCUUGAUUCGGUGGAUGGUGGUGCAUGGCCGUUCUUAGUUGGUGGAGUGAUUUGUCUGGUUAAUUCCGAUAACGAACGAGACUCUAUCCUGCUAACUAGUGUGGCUGUUCGUGCUGCAGCUUGCACUUCUUAGAGGGACAAGUGGCGUUUAGCCACGCGAAAGUGAGCAAUAACAGGUCUGUGAUGCCCUUAGAUGUAUGAGGCCGCACGCGCGCUACACUGGGAGAGACAGCGUGUGAUAUCCUGUCCCGGAAGGGAUGGGUAAUCCGCUGAAACUCUUUCGUGCUCGGGAUUGUGGCUUGUAAUUAUUCCACAUGAACGAGGAAUUCCUAGUAAGCGCAAGUCAUAAGCUUGCGUUGAUUACGUCCCUGCCCUUUGUACACACCGCCCGUCGCUACUACCGAUUGAAUGGUUUAGCGAGGUCAUCGGAUUGCAGUCGUUGUGAAGCGCAAGCUUUGCUUCGAUCUGUGAGAUGUUGACC